GUGAGACUGUGAAUUCUUCAAAAGCAGGUACUGUGUUUAAUGAAGUGUGCCCAGGACUUUGCUCAGUGACUGGAUGACACAGUAGGAGUAACAAGAAAGUUCACAUGGGUGAACCGUGGUAGGUGGACAUCGUCUCUCUCACCUCUUCCCAAAUCAAGGAUGAAGUACAUCUUCAUAAAUCCUCAUGUGAAUUAUUUUGCUACCUCUAGAAGCAUUUUCUAAAACAAGGUGCAGCAAUCAGUUGAGUGAAUUUGUCACCAGAGCUUAUGUUUUCUGAAAGAACCCUAUCCUCAGGCAGUUGUUCCUAAGAGGUCAGGCUGCAUUUGUAUCCUGGGUCCACAAGACAUCGUUUCCUUAAAACCAAUCCCCCUGAUUUUGCUAAGUGUCUGCAAGCCUAAUAUUUCAUGGAUGUUUGACAAGGACCCCGUCUUUAGCUGAACUAAGGAGAAAGUCCUGCAACACACACAUGGAGCUCAGCAAACGGAGGAUGUAAUGAAGAAACUGAGGUCCAGAGAAGUUAAACGACCUUCCUAAGAUUACACAGCUUAGUAAGUGGCAGAACCACAGCUGGAAGCCAGGUCCUUCCUCACGCAAGUCCUGGCUCAUUCAUUCCUCUUCCAAAGACUUGCUGAGCACCUUCUAGGUGCCAGAUGCGGUGCUGGCUCCUGGGGACAUGGGAGUGAACAGGCCAGGCGUGGCCCUGAACCAUCAAAUAGACAACCACAGAAAUAACAACAACAAAGACAAAACCGGGCCCUUCCACACAGUAGCUGGAACACAAAGGAAGAUCAGCCAAGCCUCAACAUAAUCUCAUAAAAAUUCUUCAAAUAUCCCAUUGUUAUGGAUUCAUACAUCAGGAAAGCAGAUGCCAAGAACCUGAACACCUUCUACUGGUAACAUAUAUUUUGGCGAGCCAGCCUGGAGACAAGACCACUAUGGGCAACUUCCUGUCUAUUCUACCUGGUGUCACUGUGGACAACUUCCUAUCUAUUCCACCCGAUUCACCGCUUGGCUACAUCCUCCACCAUUGGGAUGAAUUUGACCCUAACAAUCUAAAGAAAAGGCAUAUGAUUUUUUACUGCAAUAUUGUUUGACACAAUUAUGAGCUGCCCAAUCCGGAACAAUGGGCAGUCAAUGGUAGCCUUAAUUAUGAUACCAUCCUGUAUCUAGACCUAUUUUACAAGAGGCAGGGCAAAUGGUCAGAAGUCCCACAUAUACAGGCCUACAUGACCCUAUACGAAGACCUAAGAAUCUAGGAAACUCCCAGAACCCAUCCCCCGAAGGAAAGUUCUGGGGCAGAACUAGAUAUUAUAGAUGAACCCCCUUUUACAAGGGAUACCUGUCUCUCAGAGUGAGCAGUGACUGUCCCCAUAUAACCCCUCACCAAGUGCUCCUGAGGCUGAAACCCAGGGGCAAACAUGGGGAACCCUACUAAGUCCCCCUCACACUUGGAGGGGAACACUGUAUUCAACUCUCUAUCCAGCCCUGCUACUCUCAGAGAAAUAGCAGGGGCUGAGGGGCCAAUCCUAGUGUGGGUCCCCUUCUCUAUGAUUGAUAUACAACAAUGUAAGGAAAAGCUAGGAAGCUAUUCUGAGGAUUCCGGGAAGUUUGCAGAUGGGUUCCAAACUUUGACCUUAGCCUUUGAUCUCUCAUGGAGAGACGUUCAAUUCACUCUAGCAACCUGUUGCACCUCCUCGGAAAAGGAACGAAUCUUUGAGGCUGCCCUCCGAGAAGUGGACGAAUUAUUCACCCAAAACCGUAAAGGCAGUCACCCAGGCCCAGCCACAGUUCCCACUACGCAUCCUAAUUGAGACCAAGACACCCCCGCAGGAAGGAACAACUGGGCUAAAUUUCUUGAGGCUCUUGGAGGAAUGAGAAAGGGAAUAACUAAGGCAGUAAAUUAUGAUAAAGUAAGGCAGAUUACACAAGGCAGGGAGGAAAACCCAGCUGUGUUUUACGGCAGGCUGCGGGAAGCCUUUAAAAAAUAUAUACUAAUUUGGUCCCUUCCUCUCCUGAAGGCAAGUUAUUAAUGGCACAACGUUUCAUUAGCCAAUCCACACCAGACAUUAGACGUAAGCUCCAAAAGCUACACAUGGGGCCACAAACUAACCAAAAUCAGCUUCUUGGUACUGCCUUCAUGGUGUAUAACAAUCGUGACCUGGAGGAAGGAGAAGGGAAACAGAGUAAAGAAAAACGGCAAGCCAAAAUUAUGUUAGCCAUCACUGGUGAUGCCCUAAAUGCACAAAGAUUGUCCAAGGGAAACUCAAAGGGCCAUAAGGAUAAUGCCAGCAAAGGCUCUUGCUUCAAAUGCAAUAAAAGUGCGAUUGGGCACAGGAAUCCACUAAGCCCCCGCCAGUCCCCUGCCGUCAAUGUAAAAGCACCAGUUGUGGCUCCUGGCCCUGGAGAAUUGACUGUCCCUGCUCCCACCAAGGGGCUCAGUCAGUCAAAACUCUGGCAGUGCACAAGGAGGAAUCAGAUGAAGACUGAAGGGGCCUGGGGCCUUCCUCACUGCCCCGUCUAGGAACAUUGUAAUUACUACUGAGGAACCCUGGGUAACUCUGGACAUCAUGGCCACCCAAAUUCAGUUUUUAUGUGAUACCAAGGUGAAUUAUUCUGUACAACUGCUUAUGCAGGAAAACUUUCCUCCCGGUCCAUGAGUGAUAUUGGAUGGAAGGGAAGCCACAAACAAGAUUCUUACUCCUCCUUUGGUUUGUCAAUUUGAGAAACAAAUCUUCCAACAGGAAUUUUUAGUAGUACCAAGCUGCCCAAUUCCCCUGUGGGAAAGAGAUAUUAUGGUGAAAAUAGUGACACUACUGCAAUUUAAGCAAUAUUAGCAGGUGAAACUGCUAAUAGUAAGAAAUAAGGCAAUGUCCCAGACCAUGUCAAUAAACAGGUUAACCCACUGGCAUGGUAUACUGGAAACCCAGGGAAGGCUAAAACAGCAGUGCCAGUCAAAAUACAGCUUAAAGACCCCAGCCAUUUUCCCAAUGGAAAACAAUACCCAGUUGAACAGGAAGCAAGCAAAGGUCUAGCUCCCAUAGUUGAGAUAUUACUUACCCAUGGACUCUUAAAACCCUGCAAUUCUCCCUGCAAUACCCCCAUCUUACCUGUUCUCAAGCCUGGGGGGAAUACCAGCUAGUACAGAACCUCAGAAUAAUGAAUGAGGCUGUUAUCCCCGUCCACCCAUUGGUGGCAGAUCCAUAUGCCCUCCUGGCUCAGGUGCCAGGGCAUGCAAAAUGGUUCUCAGUCCUAGACCUUUCUUCUCCAUUCCUCUGGCCCCGAGCCCCCCAGUACCUUUUUGCUUUCGAAUGGGAAAAUCCUAAUACCAGAUAAAAACAAUACACUUGGACAGUGCUUCCUCAGGGCUUUCGGGAUAGCCCCCACUUCUUUGCCUGAGCAUUAGAGCGGGAUCUGAGGGAUUUCAAGUUAGAAAAUGGAGGUAUUCUUCAGUAUGGGGAUGACCUUGUGUGUAGCCCAACCUAGGAGGUUUCUGACCAAAAUACUAUAAAAACUUUGAAUUUCCUGGCAGACAGAGGAUACAAAGUGUCCAAAAAGAAGGCUCAGAUUACCCUCCAAUGGGUCCACUAUUUAGGAUAUGUCUUAACACCCGGAACCCGGCAAAUAUCCCCAGAAGGAGUGCAAGCUAUAUGUGGUUUGGCCGCGUGCACCACCCCCAGCCCCCACCCUGACCCACCUCCAAGCAGCAGCUUUGUUCCUUUUUGGGGAUGGCCGGGCUUUGGAGAAUAUGAGUACCAAAUUUUGGGCUCAUAGCAAAGCCCCUAUAUGAAGCAACAAGGGGGCCUGAAAAUGAGCUAAUGGAAUGGACCCCGGAAAUGAGGAAAGCCUUUGCCAAGUUAAAACAGGUUCUCACCCAGGCUCCUGCUCUUGGUAUCCCAGACCUAAUUAAGGCCUUCUCCUUGUAUGUAGCAGAGAAGAGGGGCAUAGCUGUGGGAGUGCUAGCCCAGAAAUUAGGAUCAGAACCCAGACCAACCGCCUACUUCUCAAAAAAGUUGGACGGAGUGGCCUCAGGAUGGCCAAGUUGCCUGCGGGCAAUAGCAGCCACUGCUGUUAGUGGAGGAAGCCACUAAAAUCACCCUAGGGCAACCACUGGAAGUUCUAACGCUCCAUCAGGUAAAGUUAGUCUUAGAAAUAAAGGGACACAUCUGGAUGACAGGGGAAAUGUUAACUAAAUACCAGCCCAUGCUCCUAGACAAUCCAGAUAUAACUCUUAAAACCUGCAACACUUUAAAUCCAGCUUCAUUGCUGCCCACAGGCCCAAUAAUUGAUCAUUCCUGUGAGCAGGUCAUUGCACAUACAUAUGUUAGCCAGCCUGAUUUAAAAGAUGAGGCUCUCCCAGAUUCUGAAGCUGACCGGCUCACAGACGGCAGUAGUUCUUUGUCGAAUGGGGAGCACAGAGCUGGAUAUGCAGCAGUAAAUCAUGACACAAUUAUUGAAGCCCAGCCAGUGCCCCCUGGCACAUCAGCACAAAAGGCUAAAAUCAUUGAUCUUACUCAAGCAUUAAUGUUGGGACAAGGGAAAAAACUUAACAUCUAUACAGAUUCUAAAUAUGCAUUCCUUGUGGUUCAUGCUCAUACCGCCAUCAGGAAAGAAAGGGGAUUACUUACUAGCAAGCACUCCCCUAUAGAGCAUGGACCUGAAAUUCUGCAGCUAUUGAAGGCAAUACACCUGCCAAAGGCCAUAGCUAUCAUUCAUUGUAGGGGGCAUCAAAGGGACUUAACCCCUAUAGCACAAGGGAAUGGAAAGGCUGACGGAAGCCAAAGCAAAAGCCCUCAGCGUGCAAUCCCAACAGAUCCUAGCACUGCUUCCUUUCUACAAUUCCCCAGUAGAACCCAAAUACACACCACAGGAAGAACAGCUAAUAAAAAAAGCAAGGGAGACAAAAACAAGGAUCCUGGUGGCAUAUGGAGCCAAAAAUAUAUCUCCCUCAGGCAGCCCAGUGGAGAGUUAUAAAAGCCCUGCAUGACUCUUUCCAUGUGGGGAGGGAUGCGGCUCUGGCCAUGGUAAACAAGUUCUUUACUGGGUUUAACUCAGCUUCAAUGGCUAAGCAGGUCUGUCAAGCCUGCUCACUGUGUGCAUUUAACAAUCCAGGCAUCAAAAUGCCCCCUCUAAUAAAACCAGUCCAAAGGAGGGGAACUUAUCCAGGGGAAGACUGGCAGUUAGACGUCAUCCAUAUGCCAGCUUGCAGAGGAUACAAGCUUUUGUUAAUACUAAUAGAUACUUUUAGGUUGGGUCAAAGGUUACCCCAGAAAAGGCUAAUGAGGUUCUAAGGUCCUCUUAAAAGAAAUAAUUCCCCAGUUUGGGUUACCUCAGGGUCUCCAAAGUGAUAAUGGCUAAUCCUUUAUCUCCCAAAUAACUCAAGGGGUUGCUAAGGCUCUUGGAAUAAAAUACUAUUUACAUUCAGCCUGGAGGCCCCAAUCCUCUGGAAAAGUGGAAAGGGUUAACCAAACUCUAAAAUAAGCACUAGCUAAACUAUGUCAGGAAACAUCAGAAACUUGGGUUAGCUUAUUGCUCACAGCCCUUUUAAGAAUUUGUAAUACCCCUAGCUCAAAAAUUAACAGAAGCCCAUAUAAAAUGUUAUACAGAAGGCCAUUCUUAACUAAUGAUUUAAUUAUUGACCCAGAAAGAGUUGGUGUAAUUAAAUACCUAGUCAACCCAGAACAAUUCCAGCGGGUUUACAAGAGUUUGGAAUUCAAAGGCUCCUCACACUUGGAACUAACCAGCAACCCAAAAUCAGGCCAGGAGAUAGGGUACUUGUUAAAACAUGGAAUGAGGGAUCACCUGCCCAACAAUUACAACCCCAAUAGAAGGGACUUUUUUCAGUAAUACUGGCCACGUCUUCUGUGGUCAAAGUACUAGUAUUAGAUAGCUGGAUACAUCUUUCAAGGAUCAAACCAUCAAUACCAGAAGCUCCAGACCAGGAACCUGAAGUUCCCAUCAGCCAGUACACCUGUGAACCAGUGGAGGACCUGAAGUACCUGUUUAAAAGAUAGCCAAAAGAUAAGUAAAUGCCUACCAACUUUCUUUGGUGUCUUUGUUGCAUAGUUACUGUGGGCUGGAAAAUAGUAGCCAUUUUUAUCUUUGCAGUUUAAUUGCCUUCUUCCAAAUAGAUAAAAAUCACUUCCUUUGUAAUAAUUAAACAGAAUUUAAAAAAUACAUUUCUAUGACAAAUAUUCCUGAUGGCAUAAGUAUCCACCCCAAGGUUCCCAUUAAAUCUUUUAACCUAAAGUAUUUCCUCUCACCUAGAGAUCAUCGAGCUGUGUGACAAGGGUGCCAGCCACUCCAGGUGAAGACACCACCCCAGGCCAUCAAGGAUCUUCCCUACCUUCACUAAACAGAGCAGGGUGAAAGUUGUGUGAUCCCCAAUAGGUAGGGACUACACCCCAAGUCAGCAGGAAGCAGUUACAGAAGAAAGACCAUUGGUCCCUCUGCUUCCCAUAAAGAUUUAUGGGGAUCACAGCUUUCACGGGGGAGAUGAGGCAAGAGAAUAGGGCAUGCAGGCAGGGUACUUGAGGCCAAUCCACGCUGACUUCCUAGAACUGAAUUAAAUGAAAGCUCCUCAGCAAUGACAGGAAUGUGAAUGGCUUUGUAACUUCUUCCUCUCCAUUAAUGCUAUUUCCACUUUGUAACUUCACUUUCAUCCUCUCCAUUUACAUAGAUCACACACCAAGUAACAUCCUCUCCAUUUACAGUAGGGCGCAUUCCGAGUCAAUGACUCUGACUGCACUUCGUUCUCCUCAUUUACAUAGAACAUUCGCCAAGUAACCAAUGGGAAACCUCUAGAGUAUUGAAACUCCAGAAAAUUCCGUAAGUGGGGCUCUUGAGCGUCUACACUCGGGUCGCUCCCACACUGUGGCGUGUACUUUUAUUCUCAAUAAAUUCCCGCUUUUGCUUUCCUCGUUC
rnacentral:lncRNA from 1 species